AGUUAAAUGACUUAAACAAAUGAAAGAGUGUUAAAAUAUUGUAUGUACUGUAAAAGUAUAACCACUUUAUUGCAGAUAAAUUUUGAAGACAAAACCUUAUGUGGACCCCAUUUGAGAACCACUUAAGUGCAUCAUUAGAUGAAAAGAAAAGGACACAUUAGACAAGGUAGUAAUAGAUACAUUCAGUAGCAUACUGGGUCUGAAAAUAUUGGUUGCCAGGAGACUUAGGGGGCCCACCCACAAUUACAAGGGGGCCCACCUGCAACUACAAUGCUAUCAUUUAAUUGUUUUUUGUGUGUGUGUUAAAAGUAUUCUUUUCAACUGUCUACAGACACAGCCAGGCUGAAAUAAUGUAUUCUUGCAGGAGUGAAUUAAAAAUUCUCAAACUUGAGGGAUAGGCCCCUUAGAUACUAACAUGGGCCCUCAUAUAUGGAUUUUAAUGGCGCAGUGGCCCACUUGUCCUUGGACAAGCUGGCAACCUGGCCAGUCCACCACUGGAUACACUAUGCUGUGAUAAAAGACAAUAACCAGAGAUGGCUGUGGUUAGAAAUAGAAGCCAAAUCACAUAGUAUAUUAUUAACUUAAAAAAGAAAAAAGGAAGGACAUAUAAACCAAUGUAGUUAGAAAUGCAUGAUGCUGAAAUAAAAGACAGGAAUCAGAGAUGGUUGAUGUUAGAAAUAGCAGCCAAAUUUCCAGCAUUUUUCAGACUAUUGAGUUAAACAAAGGGAAGGACAGUUUACAUCAUCUACUUUCAAAUAGAUGGUGCCUGAAUAAAAGAAGGAAUAAGAGAUGUUUAUGAAUAGAAAUAGCACCUAAAUAUCCCUCAAUAUUUGGCCUACCAUAUUUGAUAAAAGGAAAUGGGAUACUAGACAAAAGUCCUUAAUUUAAUAUCGACAGAGUGUGUUGGGAUAAAAGACUGGCACCUUCAGAGUUGGGGUUCAUGGCUGCAUCCUCUACAGUCAUAGGUCGGCUUGAAAAACAACAACAACAACAACAACAACAACUACUACUACUACUACUACUACUACUACUACUACUACUACUACUGCCACUACUGCUACUACACCAAAUAUAGGUGCAGGCAUGGUGUGGGGUAAGAAACUUGCUUUUUGAAGUAUACAUACAUACGUAUAUAUGUGUAUAUAUAUGUAUGUAUGUGUGUCUGUGUGUGUGUGUAUGUAUAUAUAUAUAUAUGCAUAUAUAUAUAUAUAUAUAUAUAUAUAUAUAUAUAUAUAUAUGCAUAUAUAUAUAUAGCAAUAAUAAUUCUCUAAAAGAGAUAUAGACAGUAACUGCUCGAUAACAUAAGGGACUAAAGCCAUCUGAAUAUGGCUAGGGACAGGGCAGGGUGGUGGGGGUGUUACUGUUGCAUUUAGCCCCAGGCGAACAUCGACGUCACCAGAAAGGCUCGACACCGUCACGGUGUCCUUAUCCUGCAAAGGGAGGUAAUUCCCCGAUGAAGCGGAAACCACACGCCGACGAUAGGCAAUACACCUUGAAACCAUGGUCCGUGUGUGGUUUCCGCUUCAUCGGGGAAUUACCUCCCUUUGCAGGAUAAGGACACCGUGACGGUGUCGAGCCUUUCUGGUGACGUCGAUGUUCGCCUGGGGCUAAAUGCAACAGUAACACCCCCACCACCCUGCCCUGUCCCUAGCCAUAUUCAGAUGGCUUUAGUCCCUUAUGUUAUAUAUAUAUAUAUAUAUAUAUAUAUAUAUAUAUAUAUAUAUGGGGGAGUCUGUAUGUACGUAUAUGCACACACACACACAUACACACACACGUAAGCAUCUAUAUACCAGACAAGGUGUUGAAAAUAGUACCUAGAAGAGUAAAAUAUUAUUUAAGCGAAGCUGAAGACCUUCACAAACUCGUGUGUGUGUGUGUGUGUGUGUGUGUGUGUGUGUGUGUGUGUGUGUGUGUGUGUGUGUGUGUGUGCGCGUGUGUGCAUGUGUGGUGUGCGUCUGAGUGCACACACCCAUUCAUGUAUAUGAUGAGACCCUGGAGAUUGGGGGAGCUGUGUUGGGAGUUGUAUGGUGAUUGGGUGUGAAGGCUUCACUGAAACAUUGUUGAGUCUUCAACUAUUUUUGUUUUUGUUUUGUUUAGUUUUGUCCCUUCAUUCCCUAUUAGAAAAUUCAUUGCCUCAUUACAUAUAUCCCCUUCUUUAAGCUUCUAAACCCCAUUACAAAGCAAGGGGCUAGAGGUGUCUGUAUCACUCACUGCACCCAUCCUUUCAUCUUUUGCCACUUCCUUACUGCCUGCUCCCUUCCUGGCACUCCUUCUUCCAUGACCAUAUUUCCUAGUAAUCCUGCCACCAUUAAGUUUACUCUUCCCACUUUUCUCUCAGAUUGCUCACUGCCCUUUACUGCCCCCUUUUCUUCUGCCUAACCCUGCAUGGUGGUAGCAUCCACAUGUACUCUACAUUAUGUAUCCCUCCCCUUCUUGUUUAACAUAUUAAGUAUUAACAUGGCCAUCCUUCAGGACAACAGGUGCACACUUCCAAGCAAAG
rnacentral:lncRNA from 1 species